AUCAGGUGUGAGUUGUGUACUGCCUCAGUCUCUGGUCACUGUAACUGAAAGGUACUUUCUGAGCUGUG